rnacentral:rRNA from 1 species
GGUAGUCCACGCCGUAAACGAUGGGCACUAGGUGUCGGGGGUAUCGACCCCCCGGUGCCGCAGCUAACGCAGUAAGUGCCCCGCCUGGGGACUACGGCCGCAAGGCUAAAACUCAAAGGAAUUGACGGGGGCCCGCACAAGCAGCGGAGCGUGUGGUUUAAUUCGAUGCAACGCGAAGAACCUUACCCAGGCUUGACAUGCACGUGGUACCGAGGCGAAAGCUGAGGGACCCGCGAGGGAGCGUGCACAGGUGCUGCACGGCUGUCGUCAGCUCGUGCCGUGAGGUGUUGGGUUAAG